rnacentral:rRNA from 1 species
UACGUAGGGGGGCGAGCGUUGUCCGGAUUCAUUGGGCGUAAAGAGCUCGUAGGCGGUUCGGUAAGUCAGGUGUGAAAUCUCCACGCUCAACGUGGAGGGGGCCACCUGAUACUGCCGUGACUCGAGUCCGGUAGGGGAGUGUGGAAUUCCCGGUGUAGCGGUGAAAUGCGCAGAUAUCGGGAGGAACACCAGUGGCGAAGGCGGCACUCUGGGCCGGAACUGACGCUGAGGAGCGAAAGCAUGGGUAGCGAACAGG